rnacentral:tRNA from 1 species
GAGGUUGUAGCUCAGUGGUGGAACUCCUGCUUAGCAUGCAUGAGGUUCUGGGUUCAAUCUCCAGCACUGCA